UACAGAGGGUGCAAACGUUGCUCGGAAUCAUUGGGCGUAAAGCGCACGUAGGCGGCGCGUUAAGUCGGAUGUGAAAGCCCCGGGCUCAACCCGGGAAGUGCAUACGAAACUGGCGCGCUUGAGUAUGGAAGAGGGUCGCGGAAUUCCCGGUGUAGAGGUGAAAUGCGUAGAUAUCGGGAGGAACACCUGUGGCGAAAGCGGCGCACUGGACCAUAACUGACGCUGAUGCGCGAAAGCUAGGGGAGCAAACAGG
rnacentral:rRNA from 1 species